rnacentral:tRNA from 1 species
AGGGUUGUGGCUCAGUGGAAGAGCCUCUGCUUUGCAUGCAGAAGGCCCCAGGUUCAAUCCUCAGUAUCUCCA